UACGAAGGGGGCUAGCGUUUGCUCGGAAUCACUGGGCGUAAAGCGCACGUAGGCGGCUUCUUAAGUCAGGGGUGAAAUCCUGGAGCUCAACUCCAGAACUGCCUUUGAUACUGAGGAGCUUGAGUCCGGGAGAGGUGAGUGGAACUGCGAGUGUAGAGGUGAAAUUCGUAGAUAUUCGCAAGAACACCAGUGGCGAAGGCGGCUCACUGGCCCGGUACUGACGCUGAGGUGCGAAAGCGUGGGGAGCAAACAGG
rnacentral:rRNA from 1 species